AGGAAAUUUCUGGAACCUUCUGUUCUGCGGCGCUCCACGGCAAGCAGAGGGCUGAACGCUGCGCAGCUGGUACACGGGCAGAGCUCCUCGGUCCGGUUCGUCUUUCCCACGUUGCUUCUGGAUGGUACAAACUUCUUUCUUCCCCCUCCUCCAAAGUCAACACUACUGAAGUCAGAUGUUUUUCCACCACCUGCUGGUAAGAGCUUCCCUACUCUACCUGGUGAGCAAAGGAAUCUACAGUCCCUGCUGAGCAAUGGGCUUCUACAGAACGUCUCAUUUCUCCUACAGGAGCCUCAGUCGUCCAUGGGAUGCUCAAAAACACAUCAAUAAAAUAACUAACCCGA